rnacentral:rRNA from 1 species
AGCAGUAGCCGCGGUAAUACCGAGGGUGCGAGCGUUAAUCGGAUUUACUGGGCGUAAAGCGUGCGUAGGCGGCUUCUUAAGUCGGAUGUGAAAUCCCUGAGCUUAACUUAGGAAUUGCAUUCGAUACUGGGAAGCUAGAGUAUGGGAGAGGAUGGUAGAAUUCCAGGUGUAGCGGUGAAAUGCGUAGAGAUCUGGAGGAAUACCGAUGGCGAAGGCAGCCAUCUGGCCUAAUACUGACGCUGAGGUACGAAAGCAUGGGGAGCAAACAGGAUUAGAUACCCGUGUAGUCCCUGUCUCUUAUAA